rnacentral:lncRNA from 1 species
GCGUUUCUCGGAAAAUUAUACGACUCUUCAUUAGGGUCAUGAUGAAUGCCUGCUUUUCAAGUUUUCAUGUGGAUCUGCUACUGAUCAGGGUCUGGUGAAAGGCAAGGACAAAUGGCUUGUUUUGUCCAGUCCAUGGUGGGCAAGGUCUUUGUCUCUGGGUUGCGAGAAUAUCUUUGACCGUCCAUAAUCUCUGGUCAGCUGCAUACAUCAUAUUCUUAUAAUAUCAUAUGUGAUUUCCAGUGGUGUUGUGUAAAAAGACUGCUUGUUAUAGCUUCAGUUUGGCCUGGUUCAGUUUGGUUGCUCAUGUUCAUGUGUGUCUUCACCUCAGAAAAAUUAGAAGGAAAUCAAAUUAUCUUUUGGCCCGCUUCUCAUUUUUAUUUAUAUUACAAUUGUUAUUACUUGUGAUAAUAAUAGUUUUAGUUUAUAAAAAUUAUCAAUAUUGGUAAGUGACACUAAAUUAAUGUCUCUCUUUGCUUUGCUACCUCUCUUAGAAUUUAGGAGGAACUAGAUAAUAUUUGUCUGAUUGAUUUUAUUUAUUAGUAAUGAUUUAUGGGAACAAAACACUGAUAAUGUUCUUCCUUUUUUCGAGUGCCUUCUUUGCUUUUGCUUUUUUAUCAAAUUUUGUUCCCUUUUUUGAGUCAUGUCCCGUGUGGAUAUUUUGUGACCAUGAUUGUGUCUAUUGAUCUUCAUGCACAUCCUUAUUUGGUAUGCUAAUGCUCUACUUACAAGUGAACAAGAAUCUCAGUGUGUAGUGUGUAAACUCUCGACCACCUCUAUAUCUAUCUGUAGUGCUAUAUUCUUUUGGGUGGAACUUAUAGCAUGUUGGUUCCAAAUGGAUAGUGAGUGUCUCACCCCGUGCCCUCUUACUCAAACUAGCUUGUAGAAUUAUUUCAUAUUUUAGGACAAGGAUUAAUGGCUACUUUUUAUAGAUAAAUUUGAUGCUUAUUUGGUGUUCACUUUUGUUGAUACAGAAGGCAAAUUGUACUUCUUAAAGUUAUGGUGGUUUCUACAUUUUGAUUUAGAGCCCCGGUCUGCGGGGUGGGGACGCAUGGGUCCUUGGUCCGGCGCUGUCGACAUGAUGUUGUGCGCGGGUCUUGCUUUCUUGCUAGAUAAGUAUUUAGGAAAAAUCUAAAAUACUCCUUCAAGGUUUAUACAUCAAUUGCAAAGGGUUUUAGGAAUGCGUCACUAUAUUGUUUUGGAUUUAUACAUGAACCGCAGAGAGUUUUAUAAAUGUAUCAUUAUAUUGUUUUAGGUUUAUAUAUGAACUGCAAAAAACUUUAGGCAUGUGAAAAUCAGAGCUCAUGAGGCAUGUGAUAUUCUUUUUCUGUGGUGGCGUGUAUAUAUUAUGUGAUUUUACUUCCUGUUUGGUUUCUUGAUAAUCCCUAAGUGCAAGGAAUCAUCGUAGCAAUUUCUAAAGAUGGAAGUGAUAAGUAUUGAGUGUCGAACCCACAAGGAGCUAAAG